rnacentral:rRNA from 1 species
UGGGGGAUAUUGCACAAUGGGCGAAAGCCUGAUGCAGCGACGCCGCGUGGGGGAUGAAGGCUUUCGGGUUGUAAACCUCUUUCGCUAUCGAACAAGGCCCGCUUAGGGUGGGUUGAGGGUAGGUGGAGAAGAAGCGCCGGCUAACUACGUGCCAGCAGCCGCGGUAAUACGUAGGGCGCGAGCGUUGUCCGGAAUUAUUUGGCGUAAAGGGCGUGUAGGCGGCUUGUUGCGCCUGCUGUGAAAACGCGGGGCUUAACUUCGCGCGUGCAGUGGGUACGGGCAGGCUUGAGUGUGGUAGGGGUGACUGGAAUUCCAGGUGUAGCGGUGGAAUGCGCAGAUAUCUGGAGGAACACCGAUGGCGAAGGCAGGUCACUGGGCCAUUACUGACGGUGGGGGGCGAAAGCAUGGGUAGCGAACAGG